GAUUCCUCCUGUGGCCAAAUCAGAGCCAAAAUCCCGGCCAAACGGCCGGAAUGCAUGGUCGAAGCCCAGCGGCGCCGCCGCGCCCUUCUCAGUUUUGCCUCCGAUGAGGCCCUUCCCGGCCUCCGUUUGAUGCAAUUUUUAUAUCACCGUGAUCACCACUCUUUUCUCUACAGGUAGACCGGAGCCGAAUCACCAAAACACGAACCUCACCGGAGAGCCGCCGCACCCGAGAGCGCCGCCACCGGUAAGCUCCGUUU
rnacentral:lncRNA from 1 species